rnacentral:rRNA from 1 species
GGUGGUAAUGCCGGAUGUUCCACAUGAGCGCAUGCGAGUGUGGGAAAGGCUUUUUGCGGCAUGGGAUGGGGUCGCGUCCUAUCAGCUUGUUGGUGGGGUAACGGCCUACCAAGGCGUUGACGGGUAGCCGGCCUGAGAGGGCGACCGGCCACAUUGGGACUGAGAUACGGCCCAGACUCCUACGGGAGGCAGCAGUGGGGAAUAUUGCACAAUGGGCGCAAGCCUGAUGCAGCGACGCCGCGUGCGGGAUGGAGGCCUUCGGGUUGUAAACCGCUUUUGUUCAAGGGCAAGGCACGGUCUUUGGCCGUGUUGAGUGGAUUGUUCGAAUAAGCACCGGCUAACUACGUGCCAGCAGCCGCGGUAAUACGUAGGGUGCAAGCGUUAUCCGGAUUUAUUGGGCGUAAAGGGCUCGUAGGCGGUUCGUCGCGUCCGGUGUGAAAGUCCAUCGCUUAACGGUGGAUCCGCGCCGGGUACGGG